UUCCGGUUGAUCCCGCCGGACCACACUGCUAUCGGGAUGGGACUAAGACAUGCUAGUCGUGCGUCUCCAAGCUAUGAUGGAGAAGCGGCGUACAGCUCAGUAACACGUGGCUAACCUACCCUUAGGAUGGGAACACCUCCGGGAAACUGGAGUUAAUUCCUAAUAGGUGAUGAAUACCGGAAUGUGUCAUCGCCCAAAGGGCAUUUAAAUCAUGCUUUUAGGUGCUGCUUAAGGAUGGGGCCGCGACCGAUCAGGUUGUUGGUGAGGUAAAGCCUCACCAAGCCGUUAACCGGUACGGGCCGUGAGAGCGGGAGCCCGGAGAUGGGCACUGAGAUAAGGGCCCAGGCCCUACGGGGCGCAGCAGUCGCGAAAACUUCGCAAUACGCGCAAGCGUGACAGAGGCCAUCCCGAGUGCCUUCCGCUGAGGAGGGCUUUUACCAGUGUAAAUAGCUGGGAGAAUAAGGAGAGGGCAAGCCUGGUGUCAGCCGCCGCGGUAAUACCAGCUCUCCGAGUGGUGUGGAUACUUAUUGGGCCUAAAGCAUUCGUAGCCGGCUAGACAAGUCUCUCGUUAAAUCCAGCGUUUAAAUCGUUGGGCUGCGGGAGAUACUUUUUGGCUAGGGGACGGGAGCGGUCGACGGUAUUUCCGGGGUAGGGGUGAAAUCCUAUAAUCCCGGGAGGACCACCAGUGGCGAAGGCUGUCGACUAGAACGUGCCCGACGGUGAGGGAUGAAAGCUGGGGGAGCGAACCGGAUUAGAUACCCGGGUAGUCCCAGCUGUAAACAAUGCAGGCUAGGUGUUAGAGCGGCUACGUGCCGCCCUAGUGCCGCAGGGAAGCCGUUAAGCCUGCCGCCUGGGGAGUACGGUCGCAAGGCUGAAACUUAAAGGAAUUGGCGGGGGAGCACCACAAGGGGUGAAGCUUGCGGUUUAAUUGGAGUCAACGCCGGG
rnacentral:rRNA from 1 species